rnacentral:lncRNA from 1 species
AUUCUGAGUGCGUCCUGGCGAGUCUCAGCCCCCAAGCGGGUGGAACGCACCAAGGGUCUCAUCCGCGAGGAAGGGCUUUAACGCUCAGGGUCAGGAACCUCUGAGAGCUCUUGGGGACUUGCGCGCCCUUGGAUGCUCUUGCGUUCAACAGGGCUAGGAGACUACCGGCUGGGGCGAGGAAUGCAGGCGCCUAGAGCCUUGGAGCUCCUGAAACGUUCCUGCCGCCUCCGGAAAGCAAGGGCAGUUUACCGAAGUGACUGAGGCCAAGUAUUUGCAGCACGGGCAGGGACCAGUAACUGAUUUUCAGGCCUUUUGAGAGGAAGAGGAAGAGAGAGGAAGAGAAGGAUUUCUAAUAGUAGAUAUUCACUCUCAUGGACUCUUUAGGAAACAGCAACAAAGACAAGAUUAAGAACACCAAAUUGUGUGACUAUCCACACAAAAAAGCAUCUUCAUAAGAACCAAAAAUCAGAGGGCAAGGAAAAAGGCUGAAUGCAAAACCAGAAUGUCAACAGGGUGCUAACGGAGACCAAUGGAAGGGGCAACUGACUCUCCCCAGGGAAGAAGGAAUGAAAUAGAAAGAAUAAAGCUGAAGGACAUUUCAUUUAUGUUCAACUAGAAAUCCAAUAUAGUUUUAGGCAAACUAUAUUUUCCCUUGCAACUGUACUCCCUUACAUACAUGUAAGUGGGAAAGAAUAAAUGUGACAAACAAAAUAUCACUCCUGAUUCCACAAUCUAAACAAAACACUGCCUCUUUCUAGGUUUUGUUUUUUGGUUUUUGUUUGUUUGUUUUUUGGCAUAGGGUUGGGGUGUAUGCUUCUUGACGUACCUACAUAAUGAGGAAUACAAGGCUUUGUAUCUUUUAUCAGUAAUUAUUCAUAGCUUAAUUGUGUAAAUUGUAAAAUAUCACACUUUUAUAAUCUUAA